rnacentral:rRNA from 1 species
CCUACGGGAGGCAGCAGUGGGGAAUAUUGGGCAAUGGGCGAAAGCCUGACCCAGCGACGCCGCGUGAGGGAAGAAGGUCUUCGGAUUGUAAACCUCUGUUGAUAGGGAAGAAGACAGUGACGGUACCUAUCGAGGAAGUCACGGCUAACUACGUGCCAGCAGCCGCGGUAAUA